rnacentral:rRNA from 1 species
UACGUAGGGGGCAAGCGUUGUCCGGAAUUAUUGGGCGUAAAGAGCGUGUAGGCGGUCCGGUAAGUCAGCUGUGAAAGUCAAGGGCUCAACCCUUGAAAGCCGGUUGAUACUGUCGGGCUAGAGUCCGGAAGAGGCGAGUGGAAUUCCCGGUGUAGCGGUGAAAUGCGCAGAUAUCGGGAAGGAACACCAAUGGCGAAGGCAGCUCGCUGGGACGGUACUGACGCUGAGACGCGAAAGCGUGGGGAGCAAACAGG